rnacentral:rRNA from 1 species
GGGUCUGGAUUAUGGCUCAGAUUGAACGCUGGCGGGAUGCUUUGCCACAUGCAAGUCGAACGGCAGCACGGACUUCGGUCUGGUGGCGAGUGGCGAACGGGUGAGUAAUGUAUCGGAACGUGCCUAGUAGGAUAACUACGCGAAAGCUGUAGCUAAUACCGGCAUGGCCGCCCUCGGGGGAAAGCGGGGGACCUUCGCCUCGCAUCAGAGCGGCCGACACGGGAUUAGCCAGUUGCGGGUGGCUCACCAAGGCGACGAUCCGUAGCUGUUCGAGAGGACGACCAGCCACACUGGGACUGAGACACGGCCCAGACUCCUACGCCGGGAGGCAGCAGGGGAAUUUUGACAAUGGGGAAACCUCGAUCCAGCCAUCCCGCGUGUGCGAUGAAGGCCUUCGGGUUGUAAAGCACUUUUGGCAGGAAAGAAAGAAACGGCACGGGAUACUCCCGUGCAACUGACGGUACCUGCAGAAUAAGCACCGAUGCUAACUACGUGCCAGCAGCCGCGGUAAUACGUAGGGUAAGCGUUAAUCUGAAUUACUGGGCGUAAAGGGUGCAGGCGGUUCGGAAAGAAAGAUGAAAUCCCAGAGCUUAACUUUGAAACUGCAUUUUAAUCACUGAGCUAGAGUGUGUCAGAGGGAGGUGGAAUUUCGCGUGGGUAGUAAAUGCGUAGAUAUGCGGAGAACAACGAUGGCGUAAGGCAGCCUCCGGGAUAACACUGACGCCUAUGCACGAAAGCGUGGGGAGCAAACAGGAUUAUAUCUGGUAGUCCACGCCCUAAACGAUGUCAACUAGCUGCUGGGGCCUUCGGGCCUUGGUAGCGCAGCUAACGCGUGAAGUUGACCGCCUGGGGAGUAAUGGUCGCAAGAUUUAAAACUCAAAGGAAUUGACGGACCCGCACAAGCGGUGACGAGAUUGACCUGAUGCAACGCGAAAACCUUACCUACUCCUUGAUAUGUUCAAUCCGAAGAGAUUUGGAGUGUCAAAAGAGAACCGGAACACAGGUGCUGCAUGGCUGCCGUCAGUCGCUGAGAUAAUGGGUUGGAGUCCUGGGCAACGAGCGCAACCUGCCGGUUAGUUGCUGUUUGGCGAAAGGCAUCACUCUGACGAGACUGUCAGGACACAACCGGAGGAAGGUGGGGAUGAUAGUCGUCAGUGCUCAUGGCCCUUGCGGGUAGGGCUUGACACGUCAUACAAUGGUCGGGGACGAGGUCGCCAACCGCGAGGGAGCUAAUCCUGAAACCCGGAUCGUAGUCCGGAUCGGGCAGUCUGCAAACUCGACCGCGAAGUCGGAACGCUGCACCGUGACCAGCAUGUCGCGGUGAACACGCCCCGGCCCGCACACAACGCCCGUCACACCAUGGGAGUGGGUUUUACCAGAAGUAGUUAGCCAACUGCAGGAGGGCGAUUACCACGGCAGUAGGAUUCAUGACUGGGGUGAAGUCGUAACAAGCGUGG